rnacentral:lncRNA from 1 species
CUCUGCCAGGGCUCACAGCCACCUGCCCUGCUCCCCCUCCCCAGUCCCAGGUGCCUCUCCCUGCAGGACAAGGCAGAGCUGCUCUCAAGGAGCUAUGGGGAAUAACCUGAGCGUGCCAGAGGAAGCUGAGGAUGACAACACCUGCACAGUGAAGAGUUACCAGCCUCUCCCGGAGUCUCCCGAUGGUAUUACAAAUGGAUCUGUGGUGUUUGCUCAGAGCCCUCCCCUGGCAGUGAAUGGUGAAG